rnacentral:rRNA from 1 species
UACGUAGGGUGCGAGCGUUAAUCGGAAUUACUGGGCGUAAAGCGUGCGCAGGCGGUUUUGUAAGCCAGAUGUGAAAGCCCCGGGCUUAACCUGGGAAUGGCAUUUGGGACUGCAAGGCUGGAGUGUGGCAGAGGAGACUGGAAUUCCUGGUGUAGCAGUGAAAUGCGUAGAUAUCAGGAGGAACACCGAUGGCGAAGGCAAUCCCCUGGGCCUGCACUGACGCUCAUGCACGAAAGCGUGGGGAGCAAACAGG